rnacentral:rRNA from 1 species
CUCUCGGCAACGGAUAUCUAGGCUCUCGCAUCGAUGAAGAACGUAGCGAAAUGCGAUACUUGGUGUGAAUUGCAGAAUCCCGCGAAUCAUCGAGUUUUUGAACGCAAGUUGCGCCCGAAGCCCCUCGGGGCUGAGGGCACGUCUGCCUGGGUGUCACGCACCGUCGC